UACGUAGGUGGCGAGCGUUGUCCGGAAUUAUUGGGCGUAAAGGGAGCGCAGGCGGGAGGUCAAGUCUAUCUUAAAAGUGCGGGGCUCAACCCCGUGAGGGAAUGGAAACUGGUCUUCUUGAGUGCAGGAGAGGAAAGCGGAAUUCCUAGUGUAGCGGUGAAAUGCGUAGAUAUUAGGAGGAACACCAGUGGCGAAGGCGGCUUUCUGGACUGUAACUGACGCUGAGGCUCGAAAGCGUGGGGAGCGAACAGG
rnacentral:rRNA from 1 species